GCAAGAUAAAUAAACCUCUUAUUUGUUUAAAUGGUGUCAACGUUUCUGUUACUCUCAGUUAAAUCAAUCCCAACCAGAGAGUGCAGAUUGAGAAACAUCAAAAUUUUCCAAAAUUCUAUGGGUUUUAUUCAUAUCAAGUUGUCAUCUUUAUUUUCAGAUGAAGGAGAACUUUAGAAAGAUGUGUUUGUUGUCUGCAUGCUUCGUUGCAACAGCCCUGCCACACUAGGAGGAGGACAGGUUUUGGGUCCUGCCUUGGUGAUAAAGGUAAAACUAAAGGACAAUCAAACCUCAUCAAACUUCUCUUCUGAGGAGCUGAUGAUGUUUCAGAAACAGUGACAAAGUUCAGAAUCCCAUUCUUCCAUCCUAGACGGGAAACAUCAACUUUCCUGAUGAUGCUGAAAAAGCAAGAUACUCAUUUUUUCUGGCCACCCUUCCAGAGCCAGAAAGCCCAUGAGAUUCAGUAGAUGUAAGAUCGAGAAAGAUUUUCAUUCCUGGAUGAAAGGAGACAGGCCUGGAAGAAGAGUUUUCUCUUGCCAUCUUUGCAGUCUCUCCACUUCUGACGUGUACAGGGUCAAGAAAGGCCAUGUGAAAACAUGGUGAGAAGACAGUCAUCUGCAACCCAAGGAGAGAGACUUCACCAGACACCGACCCUGCUGGCACCUUGAUCUUGGACUUCCAGUGUUCAGAACUAUGAGAAAUAAAUUCCUGUUAUGUAAGGUGCCCAGUCCGUGGUAUUUUGUUGUAACAGCCUGAGCUGAUGAAGAUGAAUUUUCCUUUCAAGAUCAGGUCUUGGGCUUCAGAGUCAGCCUCACUAUGGAAAGCAAUGGCUAGUCUCACCUUCCCACAGAAGACUUGGUUUUAUUGGAGGCAAGUUUUGUCUUGCUUAUUGAGGUACUACAAAGCAUAACAAAAUUCACAUUUUAUAAAGUGACUACCACAUGAUCACUCUGAAUUUUAUUUUACCUGUCAUUUCUCGGUAUCAAUAGGUUUUACUUCCGCUUGUUCUGGAUUUCAGUGAUUGACGAUUGAAUACAAUAAAUAUUUAUUGAGCACC